rnacentral:rRNA from 1 species
CGGGAGCGAUUAAAGUGGCGCACGGGUGAGUAACGCGUAGACAAUCUGCCCUUCAGUCUGGGACAACUUUUCGAAAGGAGAGCUAAUACCGGAUAACAAUGUUUAACAUAAGUUAAGUAUUUGAAAGCUUUAUGUGCUGAAGGAGGGGUCUGCGUCCCAUUAGCUAGUUGGUAAGGUAAAGGCUUACCAAGGCAACGAUGGGUAGCGGGUUUGAGAGGACGAUCCGCCACACUGGAACUGAGACACGGUCCAGACUCCUACGGGAGGCAGCAGUGGGGAAUAUUGCACAAUGGAGGAAACUCUGAUGCAGCAAUGUCGCGUGAGUGAAGAAGGCCCUUGGGUCGUAAAGCUCUUUUAUGGGGGAAGAUGAUGACGGUACCCCAACAAUAAUCACCGG